rnacentral:tRNA from 1 species
UUUAAAUAGUUUAAUUAAAAAUACUAGUUUGUGGUGCUGGAGAUAUAUAAUAUAUUUUAAAUAA